GAUGAUAACUCCCCUAUUCACCCCUGAUACUGGCAAUUUGUUUUUUCUUGAAGAACUUGGAAGAUACAGCUUUACCUGAAAGUCUUGGAUGGCUCUUCUUCAAGAAGCAACCAGGGCUACGGAGAAUGAUUUCUGGAGGGCAGGUCUCCCUCUGAAUUACAAACUGGUGAACCUAGAAGGGAAACUUCCUGCUACAAUAACACAGCAAGGCGAUGUGAUGAACACUUUUAUUUACAAAUAUAAUUAAAAGCUCUGACAGUUA